rnacentral:rRNA from 1 species
UGGGGAAUCUUAGACAAUGGGCGCAAGCCUGAUCUAGCCAUGCCGCGUGAGUGAUGAAGGCCUUAGGGUCGUAAAGCUCUUUCGCCAGAGAUGAUAAUGACAGUAUCUGGUAAAGAAACCCCGGCUAACUCCGUGCCAGCAGCCGCGGUAAUACGGAGGGGGUUAGCGUUGUUCGGAAUUACUGGGCGUAAAGCGCACGUAGGCGGACUGGAAAGUUAGGGGUGAAAUCCCAGGGCUCAACCCUGGAACUGCCUCUAAAACUAUCAGUCUAGAGUUCGAGAGAGGUGAGUGGAAUUCCGAGUGUAGAGGUGAAAUUCGUAGAUAUUCGGAGGAACACCAGUGGCGAAGGCGGCUCACUGGCUCGAUACUGACGCUGAGGUGCGAAAGUGUGGGGAGCAAACAGGAUUAGAUACCCUGGUAGUCCACACCGUAAACGAUGAAUGCCAGUCGUCAGCAAGCAUGCUUGUUGGUGACACACCUAACGGAUUAAGCAUCC